UACGGAGGGGGCAAGCGUUGCUCGGAAUGACUGGGCGUAAAGGGCGCGUAGGCGGAUUUGUCAGUUGGGCGUGAAAUUCCUGGGCUUAACCUGGGGGCUGCGUUCGAGACGGCGGGUCUUGAGUGGGGAAGAGGGUCGUGGAAUUCCCAGUGUAGAGGUGAAAUUCGUAGAUAUUGGGAAGAACACCGGUGGCGAAGGCGGCGACCUGGUCCUUUGACUGACGCUGAGGCGCGAAAGCUAGGGUAGCAAACGGG
rnacentral:rRNA from 1 species